AAAUCUGUAUUGCUAUUUAUUUCUAGGUGAAAUAAUAAAUCUCAAUGUCUUUUUUGGGUUUUUUUUUUAGUGUUGAUUAUGAGACUUUUGACAUACUGGAGAAUGAAGAGGUGCGGCAAGGAUUAAAGAAGUAUUCAAACUGGCCAACCUACCCACAGCUGUAUGUGAAAGGUGAACUUGUUGGAGGUCUAGAUAUUGUUAAGGAACUAAAUGAAUCUGGUGAGUUGUCAUCUAUUCUGAAAGGAGAAAAUUGAUGCAAAUGAAAUACAUUAACGAAGACAACUGAAAUACAAAAAAUAUUAUUGACAUUUGCACUGGAACAGGUCAUGAUGGAAAAAACAGAACGUAAUUUCUGACUUCCUUCUCAUACUUUAUCAGGCCAUGGUAGAGGUAUAUGUAAAUGUAGAUUUUCAUACAGUUGUAAAGUUAUGAACAUCUUCAAACCGAAUUAAAAUUGAAGUUCAAAAAUG